CAGCCGCCGCGGUAAUACGAAGGGUGCAAGCGUUACUCGGAAUUACUGGGCGUAAAGCGUGCGUAGGUGGUGGUUUAAGUCCGUUGUGAAAGCCCUGGGCUCAACCUGGGAAUUGCAGUGGAUACUGGGUCACUAGAGUGUGGUAGAGGAUAGUGGAAUUUCCGGUGUAGCAGUGAAAUGCGUAGAGAUCGGAAGGAACAUCUGUGGCGAAGGCGACUAUCUGGGCCAACACUGACACUGAGGCACGAAAGCGUGGGGAGCAAACAGGAUUAGAUACCCGCGUAGUCCCUGUCUCUUAUCA
rnacentral:rRNA from 1 species